GUUUUGAAAGGUAAAGGCCAUUAGCUUGGAGGCAGAAGACAGACCUCCCUGACUGCUGAAUUCCUGCCGGCCUGAAAUUGGAGCAUUCCAAGCUCCUCAGAUGAGUCAUAAGCCACCAAGAUUGUGAGCCUCUGGGGGACUCAAGAGCCAGCUCUCCUUCUUGUCCUUGGGACCAGCAUACACACUGUCCUUCUCAGUAGCCAAGAAGUUUGCUUCCUUCUCGUCCAGAGUUCUCUUCUAGGGUUUUUGAGAAAAAAGGUUUUGCAACAGGUGUUCUGGAUCUACUAAGUCUGGAACUAUGUAUCCAGGUGAUGUCAGCUUCUAACUGUUCCUCCCAGGAAAGCCUACAGUUUUGGAGUUGCUAUCAUCCUCUACAGAGCUGGCCCAGUGGAGGGCUGAUAAGGGCAGGGGGUACACUCCCCACUCUACCAACCCCUCUCCCUUUAGAUUUCUACCAAGCCAGUCACAUCAGUCUGGCCAGUGAGUCAGAGUUCAUCAAAGGACUAUGUGACCUUGGGAAAAAUAGUUAACCUCUCUGGGCCUCAAAUUCUUCAUUUCUGAAAUGGGCAUUAUAAUAGUGCCUAUCUUACAGCAUUGCUGUGAGGGUUAGUUAACAAACUAACAGCAUGUUGUGAAAAUGCUUAACACAGUACCUGGCACAGGGUAAGGGCCCAAUAAAAGCAAUAAUAAUAAUAUUAAA
rnacentral:lncRNA from 10 species